GACGAACGCUGGCGGCGUGCCUAAUACAUGCAAGUCGAACGGUUUAGUUCCAAGAGGCUUGCCUUUUGGAACUAGACAGUGGCGGACGGGUGAGUAACACGUAGGCAACCUACCUGUCAAACCGGGAUAACCUCGGGAAACCGAAGCUAAACCCGGAUAAGCUCCUUUUUCGCAUGAAGGGGGAGUGAAAAGGUGCGACCUGAUGACAGAUGGGCCUGCGGCGCAUUAGCUAGUAGGUAGGGUAACGGCCUACCUAGGCGAUGAUGCGUAGCCGACCUGAGAGGGCGUACGGCCACACUGGGACUGAGAUACGGCCCAGACUCCUACGGGGGGCAGCGGUAGGGAAUCUUCGGCGAUGGGCGAAAGCCUGACCGAGCCACGCCGCGUGAGUGAGGAAGGCCUUCGGGUUGUAAAACUCUGUUGUUUGGGAAGAAGGGAAAGGGUAGGACCCUUUGGUGACGGUACCAAACGAGAAAGCCCCGGCUAACUACGUG
rnacentral:rRNA from 1 species